CAAUCCCUGCGUUGUACGUGUUAACCGAGUUUUGAACCUACACCACUUCUACGGGAAUCUGGCGCUUUCUGUGGACCAAAUGCCCCCUCGUCGGGGACUUGGAAAUCAGGAAGGAGGAUACCCACCUGCCUAUGUGCAGGGAGCAAAACAAGGUACACGGCAAAUGUGGGGAUGUU
rnacentral:other from 1 species